UACAGCAGCACCAGAGGGGGAGGGUGUGUGGAAAAUGGAGGAGGAGGGAUAGUUUUUUGGGUUUUUCCAGGAGGAGCACAAAGCCAUGGACAGAUAUACAGAUAUGGCCACCCCCAUACCUUCCUGAAUAAUGUGUGUAAAUGGGACCCAAAAGAUGCCGAUGCCAUCGUCCCGCUGUCUUUGGCAAUUCUCGGCGAACGUGUAAGUAGCCGCUGGCAGAAAGGAUAUAUAUGUAAGGAUGUGCGAGAUGCUGCAGCUGUCGUCGGAACAUGACAACUUAUUGGCAUUUUGCUGCCAACAUCCCUGACAGUUUUGCUUCUACAUUUAAGGCCUUAAACAACUUCUAGCUGCAAAUUGAAAAUCUGAUAAAAAUGGGAGAUUUAGAAAAGGGGAAGAUGGCUAUCAUUUUAAAUGAUUGACAAACGUAGGCAUUGCACUGGAAAUAUUUUUAUAAAAAUAUAAACAGAGAAUAUAUA